GAUGAACGCUGGCGGCGUGCCUAAUACAUGCAAGUCGAGCGAACGGACGAGAAGCUUGCUUUUCUGAUGUUAGCGGCGGACGGGUGAGUAACACGUGGAUAACCUACCUAUAAGACUGGGAUAACUUCGGGAAACCGGAGCUAAUACCGGAUAAUAUUUAGAACCGCAUGGUUCAAAAGUGAAAGACGGUCUUGCUGUCACUUAUAGAUGGAUCCGCGCUGCAUUAGCUAGUUGGUAAGGUAACGGCUUACCAAGGCAACGAUGCAUAGCCGACCUGAGAGGGUGAUCGGCCACACUGGAACUGAGACACGGUCCAGACUCCUACGGGAGGCAGCAGUAGGGAAUCUUCCGCAAUGGGCGAAAGCCUGACGGAGCAACGCCGCGUGAGUGAUGAAGGUCUUCGGAUCGUAAAACUCUGUUAUUAGGGAAGAACAUAUGUGUAAGUAACUGUGCACAUCUUGACGGUACCUAAUCAGAAAGCCACGGCUAACUACGUG
rnacentral:rRNA from 1 species